rnacentral:misc_RNA from 1 species
CAAACAAUACACAGCAAAGCGAAGCAAUCUUCCAUUGAAGAAGGGAAAGGGAAAAGAGAUAGAGAGAGUUUUUACGAAGAAGAUAGAAAAUGAGUUUUCUCUUUGAGAGGAGGAAGACUCCUGCAGAGCUUCUGAGGGAGAAUAAGAGGAUGAUAGAUAAGUCGAUAAGAGAAAUAGAAAGGGAAAGACAAGGUCUUCAAGCUCAAGAAAAGAAGCUGAUUGUGGAGAUAAAGAAGAAUGCUAAACAAGGGCAGAUGGUAAAACACGUCUUCAACUUCGUUUAUAGAUUGAAUUCGAUUGAAUUGUUGCUUUUGUUAUUUUCCUAUCCCUUUUGAGCUUAAUGGGUAUCCCCGUUCAAUGAAGUCUAUCACCUGCAAAGUUGAUAAAUGUUAUUACUUUUCAAAUGUUAUUACUUUUGAAAACUAACAACAUUGAAUUGCUGAUGCUUUGGUCACAUCAGAAGCUAGGGACUCUUCUCUGAUAGUUGUGUUGUUGUAUUGCUUAUCAUAGUUAGUUGCUUACUCUGAAUGGUUUUUCUAAAUACAUAUACGAAACUGCUGACAGCAAAAUAUGAGAAUUACAUUUUCUUUUAUAUAGCAGAAGAGACGCAUAGGCGGGCUUUUGGGUCACAUCUCCACAGUCAUAUGACCAUGUUCAGAAAUAGUUCUCUGGAGAGAGAAAGAGAGAGGUGGAAAGUGGAGGACCCAGACACCCAGUGGUUUGGGUCAAUGGAUUGUAGGGAAAUUUUUUUGGCAAAUGUUUGUGGAAGACCCAAAGGUUAUGGGUUUAUUAAGACAACUGUUGAGGAGGUUCUGAGAGUUGGGCAGUGGAUCUCUGUUGGAUUCUGCAGUUGUUUGCGUAAGAUAGUCAUAUGGUUGGCAUUGUGGGGAACUUCCUUUUUAUUUGGGAAAUAGGAAUUACCGGGGACAGUUUGAGGUUUGCUAUUUCUUUGGCAUUAUAGUUCCUGCAAAUGAUGCUACUUUGAAGGUUCAAUGUUCUCAUCUGAUUCUAUGUGCGAGAUGUGAGAAUGGUUUGUUGGAUUCGUUGGUUCACUGGAUUAUGAAGUAGUUAUGUGGAUUAUGAAAUAGUUGUGUUGGAAUCAGUUAUUUUUGUAUGUCAUCAAUUUGAUUAAACUUCUUUUAUCAGUUCUUGAGCAGUUGUAUGGUACCUUACUGGGUUGAAUGAAAUCAGUAUUUUCUGAUCCCCUAGUGAUGGUUCUUUAUCAAUAUGUAUCAUGUAAAGGUUUAUUUGCAUCCUUUUCUUUUCAGGGUGCUGUGAGGGUAAUGGCAAAAGACCUAAUAAGAACGAGACAUCAGAUUGAAAAGUUCUAUAAGCUUAAAUCACAACUCCAGGGCGUGGCUUUAAGAAUCCAGACAUUGAAAUCCACUCAAGCAAUGGGGGAGGCCAUGAAAGGUGUCACAAAGGCAAUGGGCCAGAUGAAUAGGCAGAUGAACUUGCCAUCAUUGCAGAAGAUAAUGCAAGAGUUUGAGAGGCAGAACGAAAAGAUGGAAAUGGUUACUGAGGUGAUGGGUGAUGCUAUUGACGAUGCUUUGGAAGGAGAUGCUGAAGAAGAAGAAACAGAAGAGCUUGUAAAUCAGGUGCUUGAUGAGAUUGGAAUUAACAUCAAUAAUGAGCUGGUGAAUGCACCUUCAGCUGCUGUCUCUGCACCAGCUGCAAAGAAUAAGGUUGCCCAAGCCGAAUCAACUGGGACUCCUGAAGAGAGUGGGAUAGAUGAUGAUUUACAGGCAAGAUUAGACAAUUUAAGAAGGAUGUGAUUUGGGAGAUGAUGAGAAAGAAUAGCUUUGCUUUGCUAUAUGGACAACAUGGACUAUGUAACACUUGUCUCUGAAUUGCAAAGUUGGUAUAAUAGUGAAAGAAUUAUAUUUCUUUUUGUAUAUAGUUUGUUUGGAGCUUCUGUUAAUUUUUUAUGUUUCUGAGGUGUUUGUUGCUAAUAGCCAAUAGGUUAAACUAUCAUGUAUCCCACCAAACAUAGAAUGAUGAUUGUUAAUGUUAUUUCAAUAAUCUUUCCAAAUAACUGUGUUGAAUCGGGAAAAGCUCAUGAUUCUUUAGAUAUACAAAAGAUUUUGUACCUUCCAAGAACUUUAAUUGUUUGUUUUCCCCAAGUAGACACAUCAUGAUGACAUAUUGGUCGGAUAAGAAACCAGGUGGAGGAGAAAGCUCAAGAUGAAAUUCUAACAUCUAGCAUGCCCUCUAUGGAGUUCUCUGUUGUCAGUACACCAUCUUCAGAAUCCAGUCGAUGGAUUGGUGUGCGGCAAAGUGGACAGUCAGAAUGAGAGUAAAGCCACAUGUCUAUGCAAGGAGCAUGAAAUGAGUGCCUGCAAUGUGAAAGCUGCCGAACAUAUUCCUCAUCCUGAAAUUCUGAUAAGCAGACAAUACAUUCAGUUUCAGGGCUGGUUAAUUCUGGAUGAGAAAACCGAUUAUGGGAUUUGCGCCAUCCAAUCAUUACCAGGGUGUACAAUGCAAAUGCAAUGGCAAUCGUUCCAAACAUCACAAGACCAUACCAGAGGAAGUGCAUGGUUUCUUACUUUUUGCUUAUUAACAAUGACUUCAGAAGGCUGUUAAAAGGGCUUACUAUAUGCUGGAUGAGAUUUGCAAAAGCUUUGGCUGGUGGAAAUGACUCAUCAUUCCUGGUUUUGCUGCUCUAAUUCUUGUAGCCGAAAACAUCUCCGAUCCAACCCAGCGAAAUUUACAAAGAGCAUAGCAGCACGACAGCUUCGAGACAUAUGUAGUCUCCUCGCUCAUAGGCUGUGUAGUAAAGUGCAAUAAAUUAUACACCUAGGAGAGAAAGAGGAAUAUACCAUUAUUAUUUAUAGAGGUAGCCGGCUCGGAUUCUGGAAUCCAUUGAAUCCAAUAAGAGAGCAGUCAUAUUUAUCAUAAAUGGUAUCACUUGAAAAAGAAAUGAUCUAGACUUGGGAAAUUUUUUAUUUUUCCUUGGAUAAUUUUUCUUUGGUAAUCACGGACUGGAUGAGUUGACAUUGUUUUUGAUGGAUAAUAGAAGUUUAACCCAAG